GACAGAGGGUGCAAACGUUGUUCGGAAUUACUGGGCGUAAAGCGCGUGUAGGCGGCAGGGCAUGUCGGAUGUGAAAUCCCGUGGCUCAACCACGGAAGUGCACCCGAAACUGCCCAGCUUGAGUCUCGGAGAGGAAGGCGGAAUGCUUGGUGUAGAGGUGAAAUUCGUAGAUAUCAAGCGGAACACCAGUGGCGAAGGCGGCCUUCUGGACGAUGACUGACGCUGAGACGCGAAAGCGUGGGGAGCAAACAGG
rnacentral:rRNA from 1 species